UACGAAGGGGGCUAGCGUUGCUCGGAAUCACUGGGCGUAAAGGGUGCGUAGGCGGGUUUUUAAGUCAGGGGUGAAAUCCUGGAGCUCAACUCCAGAACUGCCUUUGAUACUGAAGAUCUUGAGUCCGGGAGAGGUGAGUGGAACUGCGAGUGUAGAGGUGAAAUUCGUAGAUAUCGUAAGGAAGACCAGUGGCGAAGGCGGGUCUCUGGACAGGUUCCCUGACGCUGAGGCACGAAGGUCAGGGGAGCAAACGGGAUUGAGAUACCGUAAGUAUCCACACCAAGUCCGUCUGACUGACCGUAAUCACCGCACCGC
rnacentral:rRNA from 1 species